AAGUAUGAAGCAAUAAUCUGCGAUUAGUUUCGACCUAAUGAAAUUGGUAUUAAAUUACCCUUACUUU
rnacentral:tRNA from 1 species